rnacentral:rRNA from 1 species
ACAGGGAUUGCCCUAGUAACGGCGAGUGAAGCGGCAACAGCUCAAAUUUGAAAUCUGGCGUCUUUGGCGUCCGAGUUGUAAUUUGCAGAGGGCGCUUUGGCAUUGGCAGCGGUCCAAGUUCCUUGGAACAGGACGUCACAGAGGGUGAGAAUCCCGUACGUGGUCGCUAGCCUUUACCGUGUAAAGCCCCUUCGACGAGUCGAGUUGUUUGGGAAUGCAGCUCUAAAUGGGAGGUAAAUUUCUUCUAAAGCUAAAUACUGGCCAGAGACCGAUAGCGCACAAGUAGAGUGAUCGAAAGAUGAAAAGCACUUUGGAAAGAGAGUUAAAAAGCACGUGAAAUUGUUGAAAGGGAAGCGCUUGCAGCCAGACUUGCCUGUAGUUGCUCAUCCGGGUUUUUACCCGGUGCACUCUUCUACGGGCAGGCCAGCAUCAGUUUGGGCGGUUGGAUAAAGGUCUCUGUCAUGUACCUCUCUUCGGGGAGAACUUAUAGGGGAGACGACAUGCAACCAGCCUGGACUGAGGUCCGCGCAUCUGCUAGGAUGCUGGCGUAAUGGCUGUAAGCGGCCCGUCUUGAAACACGGACCAAGGAGUCUAACAUCUAUGCGAGUGUUUGGGUGUCAAGCCCGAGCGCGUAAUGAAAGUGAACGGAGGUGGGAACCUUUCGGGGUGCACCAUCGACCGAUCCUGAUGUCUUCGGAUGGAUUUGAGUAAGAGCAUAGCUGUUGGGACCCGAAAGAUGGUGAACUAUGCUUGAAUAGGGUGAAGCCAGAGGAAACUCUGGUGGAGGCUCGCAGCGGUUCUGACGUGCAAAUCGAUCGUCAAAUUUGGGCAUAGGGGCGAAAGACUAAUCGAACUAUCUAGUAGCUGGUUCCUGCCGAAGUUUCCCUCAGGAUAGCAGUAACGUUUUCAGUUUUAUGAGGUAAAGCGAAUGAUUAGAGGCCUGGGGGUUGAAACAACCUUCACCUAUUCUCAAACUUUAAAUAUGUAAGAAGUCCUUGUUACUUGAUUGAACGUGGACAGUUGAAUGUAUCGUUACUAGUGGGCCAUUUUUGGUAAGCAGAACUGGCGAUCCGGGAUGAACCGAACGCGGGGUUAAGGUGCCAGAAUAUUCGCUCAUCAGACACCACAAAAGGUGUUAGUUCAUCUAGACAGCAGGACGGUGGCCAUGGAAGUCGGAAUCCGCUAAGGAGUGUGUAACAACUCACCUGCCGAAUGAACUAGGCCUGAAAAUGGAUGGCGCUCAAGCGUGUUACCCAUACCCCGCCGCUGGGGCAGGUUUUAUGCCCCAG